AGUGUUAAGCAAUGGCUUUGGUGUGGAGGUGACAGUUCUGUGACUCAAGCCUUCGGAGCCAGACUUCCCCACAGGGCCCAUCCUGUCACAGACAAUGGACCCCUGUCGUACAACCUCUGCACAGACAUGCUCAGGAGGACACUUCAGAAGCUGGCAUGGCGUCUAUCCCCGUGAGCCCUCUGAGUGGCAACAGAAGUCGGGAGCCUUUGCCAUCGGGAGGCUGCGCCUUACUCUUAGUGAUUGCCAAAGCCGGGGCACCGCGGGAAAUACAAUGAGCUCUUUAUGGGAUCAGAGAUGGAGAGGAAGGAAAACUCGCUAAGAGCACUCCUUUCUGCUCGGAAAAUGGGCUCUUCGGAGACCACGGCACCGAAGGCUUAAGAAGGCUAAAACAUAUCCCUCCACACCCAACCCUAUGAAACCGCAACUCUUUGGAGCUGCAAGUUACUGUGGAUAACAGCUGAACCGACUGCCUUUGACAGCAGUGAAACAAGGAAUGCAAGACUGAAGGCAUCCAAGGUGACGAAGAUGGCCAGGGAGAAACCAAGACUAGGACCUGCAUCUCUGUCACCCAGCAGGCCACCAAGGGUCUGAUGCACACAUGGGACUCUGGUGCUCACACUCUUAGACCCCAUGGUGGGUGUGUCCCAGUCUGUUCAGGCUCCUUUAACAGAAUAUCAUAGACUGGGUGGCUUUUAAAUAAUGGAGAUUUAUGUCUCACCAUUCUGGAAGCUGGGGAUCCAAGAUCAAGGUACAAGCAGAAUCAGCAGCACCUGGGAGCGGCUUUCUGGUUCAGAGUCAGCCGUCUUCUCGCUGUGUCCUCACCUAGUAGACUGGGUUAGGGGGCUUUCUGGGGGUCUUUUUAUAAGGUCACUGAUCACAUUCUUGAGCGCUCUGCCCACAUGGUCUAAUCACCUCCCAAAGGCCCAGCUUCCUAAUACCAUCACACAGGGGGUUGGGAUCUCAACAUAGGAAUUUGUGGGUAGAAAACAUUCAGUGUACAGCCGGGUGCAAGGUGUUUUCUGUCCUUCCUUUCUCCCCAUGUAUACCGUGAAGGUAGCUCUCCUGUCUCAGAAAGCCAUCACACCCUCCUCUUUCCAGCGUUCCCUCCCUGGGGAGGUGUGACCCCAAUUCCUCCUGGAGGUCUGGUCACAGCAAUCAAGGGGCUCACACAAUGGGGCUUUCUCUCGAGAUGUCCCUCUGGGAUUUCACAGUGUGCUUAUCUCCUGUGUGGGUGGCUCCUGGGGUGCAGGCAGGGCACGUGCAUGGCAGGUGGUGCUGCGUGAUGAGGGAGGGAUGCUAACAACACAGAACGCCCCUUGUUCUCUGCAAAAGUCUGCAUUUGGAAUGUGACUGUAGGCCAGAAUCACACAACACUCACCUUAUUGGAAAAUGCAAACUCACCUUCAAAGAGGCCUUGGGAGAGAACAGAAACCACACUGAGAAGGUCAGGGACUGUCACUGUGUUAGAAAGUUGGUGACAGAUAUGGUUAGGCCCUGAAAACAGGGUGGAGUUCCUUGCUCUAUGUUGUAGUAAAAAGUUUUAAAAGUUUAUAGGUGUCUUUGUAUGCUUCAUUCCCUCUACAUUUUUUAGCCCAGACCCUAGAACUGAGCAACAGAACCUCAACAUGAAGCUCAGGUCCUUUGAGGUGGUUAAUUAUCCACAGCCUUGGAAGCUACGAGAAACCACAGAUGGAUGGAAACUCAGGAAUGAUUUUAAUGCUUCUCCGGCUUGGUGUGUAUCUCUGAGCACGAUGGUUAUUAACAAAAAUCUAAACCAUUGUA